rnacentral:tmRNA from 1 species
GGGGUCGACUGGUUUUGACAGCGAGUGGAAUUAUUUAGUAAGCACGUCGAGCCAAGUAUGGUAGGCUCGUAAAUAUCUGCUAUACGACUUAUAAACGGCGAAAAUAACUACGCUUUAGCUGCUUAAUCUGAAUCACAGUAAGAUUUGCCUCGUCCGGCCAGGUCGGAAAGCUAAAUUCUCCUCAAAAGCCUUGGUUUGUGGCGUUUGGUUUAGGGGAACCGCAAAAAUAAACCUAGAAAGGGUAACGCUU